rnacentral:rRNA from 1 species
UUCGGGAGGGGAUCAGUGGCGAACGGGUGAGUAACACGUGGGCAACCUGCCCUCAGCUCUGGGAUAACUCCAAGAAAUUGGGGCUAAUACCGGAUAUGACCGCUGACCGCAUGGUCUGGUGGUGGAAAGAUUUAUCGGCUGAGGAUGGGCCCGCGGCCUAUCAGCUUGUUGGUGGGGUCACGGCCUACCAAGGCGACGACGGGUAGCCGGCCUGAGAGGGUGACCGGCCACACUGGGACUGAGACACGGCCCAGACUCCUACGGGAGGCAGCAGUGGGGAAUAUUGCGCAAUGGGCGAAAGCCUGACGCAGCGACGCCGCGUGGGGGAUGACGGCCUUCGGGUUGUAAACCUCUUUCAGCAGGGACGAAGCGAAAGUGACGGUACCUGCAGAAGAAGCACCGGCCAACUACGUGCCAGCAGCCGCGGUAAUACGUAGGGUGCAAGCGUUGUCCGGAAUUAUUGGGCGUAAAGAGCUCGUAGGCGGUUCGUCGCGUCGGCUGUGAAAUCCCGAGGCUCAACCUCGGGUCUGCAGUCGAUACGGGCGGACUUGAGUUCGGCAGGGGAGACUGGAAUUCCUGGUGUAGCGG